CCUACGGGUGGCAGCAGUGGGGAAUAUUGCACAAUGGGGGAAACCCUGAUGCAGCGACGCCGCGUGAGCGAAGAAGUAUUUCGGUAUGUAAAGCUCUAUCAGCAGGGAAGAAAAUGACGGUACCUGAGUAAGAAGCUCCGGCUAAAUACGUGCCAGCAGCCGCGGUAAUACGUAGGGAGCAAGCGUUAGCCGGAUUUACUGGGUGUAAAGGGAGCGCAGGCGGCCUUGCAAGUCUGAUGUGAAAGACCGGGGCUCAACCCCGGAGCUGCAUUGGAAACUGUGAGGCUGGAGUGUAGGAGAGGAAAGCGGAAUUCCUAGUGUAGCGGUGAAAUGCGUAGAGAUUAGGAGGAACACCAGUGGCGAAGGCGGCCUGCUGGACGGUGACUGACGCUGAGGCGCGAAAGCGUGGGGAGCAAACAGGAUUAGAUACCCCUGUAGUC
rnacentral:rRNA from 1 species